rnacentral:rRNA from 1 species
UAAGCCCGAUGAACCUGAAUAUCCGAUAUGAAAAAUUCAUCAUUAAUAUUAUAUUAAUUAAAAUUUAAUAUAAAAAUAAUGUGCACUUUUUUCAUAAUAGGACAUUGUAAUCUAUUAAUCUUAUAAUAUAAAAUUUAUCAUAAGGUCUGUAAAAAUAGUUUAUUUUUUAUUUAACUUUUAUUAGUUAAUAAAAUAAAAUUUAUAACAGUACCAGAUAAAUGAUUGAUAGAUUUUUUCAUAUAUAACGCUCUACAUUAAUAUAUGUUAUAAUAUUUUAAUAACUAUAUGUUAUUAUUAAUUAUUAUAUGCGUUUAUAUGAUUACAAUGCGAUAGAUUUAGGAUACCUUCGGGA